AGUAUGGAUAAUAUUAAUAAUAGGUGUGAUUCCAUAGUGUUCAUUCACAGAUGAAGCCCCUCUCUACAUCAGGGCCUCUCCGGGUGACAUGUGGACGGACGUCCGUGGCCCUUUAAGAAACUCCAUGUUUUCUCAACAUGAUGCGUCAACAUGAAAAGCGGAUGAUGAUGUUAUGUAAAAAAUGCUAAAGUAGUCGCAGUUUGUUAAAUGCGAGUAAAAUAUUUAUCCCGCGGCGAAUUCCAACUGCUAUUCCAGUUUCCGCAGCGGCACCGACGGACGGUUCCCCGCUCGGCCGCGGACAGAUCCGCGCCGUUCGGAGAGGAGCUCCAGUGGAGCGGAGGAAGAUGAUCGCAACUCGACUGAGUCGUCCGCUGGUCGCUCUCCCUCCCGGGGUCCAAACACCUGACCACCACCCCUCCUGGAGGAGUAGCAGCCGGAGGGGCUUCUUUAGUGGACGUUUUACUCGGAACAUAACUAUCUAGCGUUUCUUCAGGAAAGAGAAAAACACUGAAAGUGGCUGGAGACUUAAUUCAAGCGACCGAGGACACCGUGAGAACCGAGGUAAAGCGGGGUCAGAGCCCGGCGUGCUGGGGGUGUUGGCACGCUGAAGGAUCAACUUGCUUCUACUGGUAAAACGCCUGGUCCUCAUGGGGCUGUUUGGCACCAGGUGUUCACGUCCCAUCACACGCUGUAACACCGUGUCUGUCUGAGCGACGAACCAUGAAGGCUCAUCUGUCCUCCUGUCCUCCUGCUCAGAGUGGGCCGGACAGACGUGUUGCUGAUCACUAGUCUUUGGUUGAAACACGCCGUGCAGACGUGAUGGUCACACAAGGGAGCAAGGCGUUAUUUGUCAUCGACACUGUAUAUCAUUUAGAGUAUAUUUAAAGAAGCACGUUACACAUACAUUUCAUAUCUUAUUCUGAAGUUAUGUUGCUGACAGGAGAUUUGAUGUUGGAUUAUCUCCUGAAGGAGAUGGUUGGGGAGGCUGAUGUUUGAGUAUUACCUCCAGGCUGGAGAGUGAUGCUGUCCUAUAAGGAGGCUGUUAUUAACGUUGUCCUAUAAGGAGCCUGUUAUUAAUGCUGCCCUAUAAGGAGCCUGUUAUUAACGUUGUCCUAUAAAGAGCCUGUUGGAGCUUAUUAUU
ensembl:lncRNA